rnacentral:rRNA from 1 species
UAGGGAAUCUUCCGCAAUGGGCGAAAGCCUGACGGAGCAACGCCGCGUGAGUGAUGAAGGUCUUCGGAUCGUAAAACUCUGUUAUUAGGGAAGAACAAAUGUGUAAGUAACUAUGCACGUCUUGACGGUACCUAAUCAGAAAGCCACGGCUAACUACGUGCCAGCAGCCGCGGUAAUACGUAGGUGGCAAGCGUUAUCCGGAAUUAUUGGGCGUAAAGCGCGCGUAGGCGGUUUUCUAAGUCUGAUGUGAAAGCCCACGGCUCAACCGUGGAGGGUAAUUGGAAACUGGAAAACUUGAGUGCAGAAGAGGAAAGUGGAAUUCCAUGUGUAGCGGUGAAAUGCGCAGAGAUAUGGAGGAACACCAGUGACGAAAGCGACUUUCUGGUCUGUAACUGACGCUGAUGUGCGAAAGCGUGGGGAUCAAACAGG